rnacentral:lncRNA from 1 species
GGGCAGCCUGUGCCCCCUCCCCCGGUGCCUGGGAACUGGGUGGGACCCGGGACUCCGCCGUCCCGCUUGCUGGCAGCAGUGCCUCCCUAUUCAUCAGCUGCCUGGGUGGGAGCCAGAGGCUCCCGUGGGGACGGGCCUUGCCCGCCUGUCCCACAGCCCCGCGCCCUGGGACUGGCAGCCUGGGCAGGGGGACGGCCGGGUGGGGCAGGGUUCCAACGGGCUGCACAGGAGUCCACAGAGCCCCACCCCUGCCCCUCCGACCCCGAAGCUGGCAUGUGGAGACUGCACUCUCCAGAGGUGUUUCCAGGCGUGCACAAGGGCUGAUUGACUGAGGACCACGUCGGAGAGCUUUGGAUGUCCUCACGGUGAGAGGUGAAGGACUCACACAGUCUGAACUUAUCCCUCCAAAGGGGACCAGUGGGAGACAUUUGACUGGGUGGGAACAUGGGAGGAUGCCAGCAAGGAGGUCCCUGAGUU